rnacentral:rRNA from 1 species
UAUAAUGCAGUCGACGAACUCUGGUAUUGAUUGGUGCUUGCAUCAUGAUUUACAUUUGAGUGAGUGGCGAACUGGUGAGUAACACGUGGGAAACCUGCCCAGAAGCGGGGGAUAACACCUGGAAACAGAUGCUAAUACCGCAUAACAACUUGGACCGCAUGGUCCGAGUUUGAAAGAUGGCUUCGGCUAUCACUUUUGGAUGGUCCCGCGGCGUAUUAGCUAGAUGGUGGGGUAACGGCUCACCAUGGCAAUGAUACGUAGCCGACCUGAGAGGGUAAUCGGCCACAUUGGGACUGAGACACGGCCCAAACUCCUACGGGAGGCAGCAGUAGGGAAUCUUCCACAAUGGACGAAAGUCUGAUGGAGCAACGCCGCGUGAGUGAAGAAGGGUUUCGGCUCGUAAAACUCUGUUGUUAAAGAAGAACAUAUCUGAGAGUAACUGUUCAGGUAUUGACGGUAUUUAACCAGAAAGCCACGGCUAACUACGUGCCAGCAGCCGCGGUAAUACGUAGGUGGCAAGCGUUGUCCGGAUUUAUUGGGCGUAAAGCGAGCGCAGGCGGUUUUUUAAGUCUGAUGUGAAAGCCUUCGGCUCAACCGAAGAAGUGCAUCGGAAACUGGGAAACUUGAGUGCAGAAGAGGACAGUGGAACUCCAUGUGUAGCGGUGAAAUGCGUAGAUAUAUGGAAGAACACCAGUGGCGAAGGCGGCUGUCUGGUCUGUAACUGACGCUGAGGCUCGAAAGUAUGGGUAGCAAACAGGAUUAG